GGAAAGGCCUCACACAUUCUGCCCCGGCUGACGCCUUCCUUGGGCCAGUGCUCGGGGGUGUGUAACAAACGCCAAGACGCAUUGUAAAGAAGGAAGCCUGCGUUUCCAUCACCGGCUUAAUAUCAAACAAAAGUGCAAUUUUGAAAAUGUAGUCCAAGGUUUUCUGUGGUGCGGAAAUGGCCAGGCCAGACCUCCGUGGGUGGUCCUUCGUGUCCACGUCAGCGCCCUACAUCCACACUGUGGGCACCAUGACCUCACAUGCGGAGCGGAGCAGGGCCGGCGCCCGGAGAGCCAGGCUGGUCACGAACGAGGCCUAGAGGGCGUCAGGCCCCAAAGCACUCACAGGCUUCUCCUCUGUCCUCGGGGCCUUCAGACACCUGCAUGCGCCGAUUCAGCCACCCGCGCGCGCCGAUUCCCCUGGCCAUGGGGUUUCCAAAGUGUGUGCUCAGAGGACAGUUUCCUCCAGGAUGACCUGUCAGUGGCUCUCUGUGCCGGGGACGUCGCGUGCUGGGUCCCGGUCUGAAUGCUUCCUAACGAUUUACCCAGUUCCUUUUCUCCACUCAGGAGGCGUUUGCUGAGAGGCACAGGCUGAGCCCCCGUGCUGAUGCCACGACCGAGGGAACGGGUCUCCCUGUCGGCGUGAACUGACCCGGCCAGGCGUCCACUGCCACUCGGACUGUCUCCCAGGCACGUGGCGCCCACACGGGCAGAACACGCCCUCCACACACGCGGCUUCGGGCAGAACACGAGGCGCCCUCCACACACGCGGCUUCGGGGCUUGUCAUGAAAAAAGCUGAAUGCUGGGGGUGCAGCUUUCACCAACAGAAUCCCGUUUGGAAGGGACGCGCCUGCAGGCCUGCAGAAGCUGCAUCUCGGGAUGGCCAAGAGCCCGGCCAGGCCCCACGGCUGCACCCAGGACGGGAUUCAUGCCCCAUGCCUGGCUUCUCACGACCACAGAGUGCCUUUCCCGGGACUGGAUGGAGGCAGAGUGAGAGAAGAGCCUGGAGCAAGUGUUUUGGACCACAGUGAUCAAACACGGAGCCCGUGGGAGGACGUGGGAGGACGUGCGGGGCUUUGCCGGGCGAGCCCGAUGCUGCUCACGGCACCUGGAGUGUUCGGGCCGCUAUUUGGGCGGUGUUCUGAGCAGCCGUCAGACCUUGAGUUUUGCUGUCAAAAGCUCUUCUCUCCUGCCCCGAAAUAUACCCAGUCCAUGCCCCAAGAGGAAAGGCCUUUGUGCCAGGUGGGCACCCGGCUGCCUCUUGGCAAAGACUUGUUGGAAAAAUGAGUGAGUGACGAGGCUGCUGGUCAGCGUGUGGCCUGUGGCGUCACUGGGGCCUCUGGCGGCUGCUGGAACCAGAAGAGGAGCCUGCGCUGCAACCCAGGCCGCACCACAUCAGGGUCUCACUGGGAGCCGGAGAGCUUGUUCCCAGGCAACCCUGAAACAGAGAAGUGUCCUUGGAGGCUUCACCCACGCAGACCCACGGCUUCCUGGUAGAAGCCGUCUGCACCCCCGCACUGACCUGGCUCUGUGAGGAGAGCGGGGAGGGGCUCCAGGGAAACAUCCUGGCGUUGGCGUAGCCAGCCUGUGAGUCACGGGGAAGCCGGCUGCCCGGAUGCCCCCCAAGGACCCGGUGAGUCCACACACAGUACAGCAGGGCCUGGGCCCGCACCACCGCCUUUUC
rnacentral:lncRNA from 1 species